AAAUGUGGCCGUAUCUGCUUGUUAAUGCCUGAUCUCCUCAGAUCUUGGAAGCUAAGCAAGGCCAGGCCUUAUUAGUACUUGGAUAGGAGACCACUGGGAAAACGAGGUGCCACUGUGG
rnacentral:rRNA from 1 species